UUGCCUCUAUCAGCAGUUUUGCUGUUUGGGCUGAGAAUUUUCUUCCGAAGGAGAACGACGUCAGGAAGAAAAAGGGCAU
rnacentral:sRNA from 12 species